CAUUUGUGAAAAAUACUAAGAAGAAAAUGUUUACUCAACAUUUUGCACAAAUGAGUAUGCCAAUCGAUAAAACUCCAUAAGAGAUGCAAACCUAGCAAAAUCUGACUCUUAUUCUUUAACAACAACGGAGAUAUCAACGUUUGCAUGUGAAU